rnacentral:rRNA from 1 species
UGAGCAAUCUGCCCUUCACAUCGGAAUAACCAUUGGAAACGAUGGCUAAUACCGAGUAUGACUUCGGAUCGCAUGAUCUGAAGUGGAAAGCUCCGGCGGUGAAGGAUGAGCUCGCGGCCUAUCAGCUAGUUGGUGUGGGUAAUGGCCCACCAAGGCGACGACGGGUAGCCGGCCUGAGAGGGUCGACCCGGCCACACGUGGGACUGAGAUACCGGCCCAGACUCCCGUAACGGGG